rnacentral:rRNA from 1 species
UGGGGANUAGUGGCGAACGGGUGAGUAACACGUGAGUAACCUGCCCUUGACUCUGGGAUAAGCCUGGGAAACUGGGUCUAAUACCGGAUAUGACUCCUCAUCGCAUGGUGGGGGGUGGAAAGCUUUUGUGGUUUUGGAUGGACUCGCGGCCUAUCAGCUUGUUGGUGGGGUAAUGGCCUACCAAGGCGACGACGGGUAGCCGGCCUGAGAGGGUGACCGGCCACACUGGGACUGAGACACGGCCCAGACUCCUACGGGAGGCAGCAGUGGGGAAUAUUGCACAAUGGGCGGAAGCCUGAUGCAGCGACGCCGCGUGAGGGAUGACGGCCUUCGGGUUGUAAACCUCUUUCAGUAGGGAAGAAGCGUAAGUGACGGUACCUGCAGAAGAAGCGCCGGCUAACUACGUGCCAGCAGCCGCGGUAAUACGUAGGGCGCAAGCGUUAUCCGGAAUUAUUGGGCGUAAAGAGCUCGUAGGCGGUUUGUCGCGUCUGCUGUGAAAGACCGGGGCUCAACUCCGGUUCUGCAGUGGGUACGGGCAGACUAGAGUGCAGUAGGGGAGACUGGAAUUCCUGGUGUAGCGGUGAAAUGCGCAGAUAUCAGGAGGAACACCGAUGGCGAANGCAGGUCUCUGGGCUGUAACUGACGCUGANGAGCGAAAGCAUGGGGAGCGAACAGGAUUAGAUACCCUGGUAGUCCAUGCCGUAAACGUUGGGCACUNNNUGUGGGGGGACNUUCCACGUU